rnacentral:rRNA from 1 species
UACGGCUCAGUAACACGUGGAUAACCUGCCCUAAGGAAGGGGAUAACCCCGGGAAACUGGGGAUAAUACCCUAUAGGUUACAGAUGCUGGAAUGCUCUGUAACCGAAAGCUCCGGCGCCUUAGGAUGGAUCUGCGGCCGAUUAGGUUGUUGUCGGGGUAACGGCCCAACAAGCCAGUAAUCGGUACGGGUUGUGGGAGCAAGAGCCCGGAGUUGGAUUCUGAGACACGAAUCCAGGCCCUACGGGGCGCAGCAGGCGCGAAAACUUUACAAUGCGGGCAACCGUGAUAAGGGAACCUCGAGUGCCUGUAUAUGCAGGCUGUCUGGGUGUCUAAAACACACCUAAAGAAAGGGCCGGGCAAGACCGGUGCCAGCCGCCGCGGUAAUACCGGCGGCUCGAGUGGUGGCCACUUUUAUUGGGCUUAAAGCGUUCGUAGCUGGGUUAUUAAGUCCCUUGGGAAAUCCGACGGCUUAACCGUCGGGCGUCUAAGGGAUACUGGUAAUCUUGGAACCGGGAGAGGUGAGGGGUACUUCGGGGGUAGGAGUGAAAUCCUGUAAUCCUCGAGGGACCACCUGUGGCGAAGGCGCCUCACCAGAACGGCUUCGACAGUGAGGGACGAAAGCUGGGGGAGCAAACCGGAUUAGAUACCCGGGUAGUCCCAGCCGUAAACGAUGUGCGUUAGGUGUAUCGGUGACCACGAGUCACCGAGGUGUCGAAGGGAAACCGUGAAACGUACCGCCUGGGAAGUACGGUCGCAAGGCUGAAACUUAAAGGAAUUGGCGGGGGAGCAC